GGAAAUGUGCCCGUUAACGUGAAGCAGCGCCUAAGCAAAGAAAUAAUUACCUUAAUUGUGAAAUAAACUUCAAGUGCGGUCUUCUACGAGCUUUUGCAUGAACGUGUCGUUGCAGGAAGGACACUUCAGUAGUGAAGUCCUAUAUGAUUAUCGUACUACAGAGUCCACAACGUUUCCCAUUAAGGAAAAAAAAAAGCGCGAAGUUGUUUUGGCAAUAAAUCCAAAAUACACGUGACCUGUUGUGAAAGGUAGUGCUCUUGUGGAAAAUAUUAGUGGUAUUGAUGUGCUUGUGUGUCACCGAGUUGAUCCGCGUGAUUCGAAUGGCCAGCGCAAAAGCAUGUACGAUGACACAACCUUACACGUUUUUUUUUUUUUCGUUCUUUUUUGCGUAGACCGUAGAUCAUCGGCUGCAAGUGUUCAUCUGCGACAUUUUCGACUUCAAAAGGGACUGUAUUGGAACUGUGGACAUUGUUUGGGACAGAUCUGGAUUUACAGCCGUGAGACUCGAAGACCGUGCCAGAUAUGCUGCGGUAGUGAAGAAACUGCUGGCCCCAGACUUCUCAUACGGCAUGUGGACGGUCGUUUAUGAUUCGCACGGUGCUUCUGACAUCAUUGCGCCUCGAAGCGCUGGAGAGUCUGCCCUCCGGGAAUGUUUCGGGGACACGGCGGCGAAGAUUGCACUGGUGGAUAGCCACGUUGCAGAAAGGGUACGGUUCGCACGGGGGUGCGCACCAUACACUUUCUGUCUGUGGCACAUGGCCCCGCAAACGCCGUGAAGGCGUAGAGUUUUUGACAUACAAUCUGCUUCACCACAAUUGCAGUGCUCAUACAUUACGGCGUUUUGAUAAAUAUGGUCCGCAUUCUGUGCACAGUCAGCGAUGCAAAAUUUUGUCGUAAAAUAAACGUUAUU